rnacentral:misc_RNA from 1 species
CCAAACUUGGUCAUUUAGAGGAAGUAAAAGUCGUAACAAGGUUUCCGUAGGUGAACCUGCGGAAGGAUCAUUAUGGAGUGGGUGGCUUGUAAUAGGCCCAAUCUCUCUCUCCCUUGUAUUAAUUACUAUGUUGCUUUGGUGGAUCCCCCCGUUUAAGAGGGGGCUUUGGAGUCCCUAGUGUGAGAUUCUAGGUGCCGAAGCUGCUAUCCACCAGAGGCUUUUUGAUUUUUAAAAUGCUUGUAAAAAUUGGGACAGUCUGAAUGGGAGUUUGCAAAUUAGCAGGAAGAAAAAACUUUCAACAAUGGAUCUCUUGGUUCCGGCAUCGAUGAAGAACGCAGC